rnacentral:tRNA from 2 species
GGGUAUAGCUCAAUUGGUAGAGCACCGGUCUCCAAAACCGGGGGUUGCGGGUUCGAUUCCUGCUGCCC